rnacentral:rRNA from 1 species
UACGUAGGGUGCGAGCGUUGUCCGGAAUUACUGGGCGUAAAGAGCUCGUAGGUGGUUUGUCGCGUUGUUCGUGAAAACUCACAGCUUAACUGUGGGCGUGCGGGCGAUACGGGCAGACUGGAGUACUGCAGGGGAGACUGGGAAUUCCUGGUGUAGCGGUGGAAUGCGCAGAGUAUCAGGAGGAACACCGGUGGCGAAGGCGGGUCUCUGGGCAGUAACU